rnacentral:lncRNA from 1 species
UGAGGAGAAGCAGAAUGUCAUGGUAGAAUGGUGUGGCAGAAGAAAGCAGGUUGGGACGUGGCCACCAAAAAGCAGCGACAGAGACUCCACUCAACAGGAAUAAAAUAUGUACCCCAAAGGCACAACCCCCAGGAGCCGCCUCCUCCAGCCACUCCCCACCUGCCUACAGUUACCACCCAGUUAAUCCCUAUUAGGGGAUUCAUGCACUGCUUAGGUUCAGAUUCUUAUAACCUAAUCAUCUCACUUCCAAACUUUCUUGCACUGUCUCCCACAUGAGCUUUCGGGGGACACCUAACAUCUAAACCAUAACUGAAGUGAACUUCCAUUAAGGCAGUUUCUUGCAAAGAGAUCUGGGCUAACAUUUUAGAGAUUGUAAAGUCCAAGCAUUCACCAAUGAACAAUUAAUAUAAACUACAGCCAUGCUUCCUGGGAAUGUUCUCAGUCCAGCAUAAAUAAUUUCUCCAGUGAGUCACAUGUCUGCCAUCUUCCUUCCCAUUUCCUAUUGUUGAUUUCAAGAAAGAGGUAAAUAGAUGUUCCAUGGAGUUUUCGGCAUGUAGGUUGCUAAGGCCAGAAAUGAAGAAACACUGUGGGAAGUCUAAUCCUUUUGUGUGGAGAACUUCAGAGAGGCCCCGUUGGCAGUUUUCAGAAGAAAAGUUACAAAGAGAUGAGAAAAAUUAGAGCAGCCAGCAAGGGCAGGUGGGAGGUGUGGGGAGUACCUCUCAGGUGAGUGGAGCAGAAGUCACAUCAUAUAGGAAGACAAAGGGAAGUGUGGUUCUAGAGAUGCCACGCAGGUGGAACGCAUUUCAUUUGUGGCAUAUAAGGAUGAUGUCAAAUGGCGUCUCUGCAUCCUGAAGAUAAAGCCAGUGGUUCGGGCCAUUAAAAGUCUGGUUCUCCGAAUGUCCAGAAUAAAGAAGGAGUUUAGGGUGGACAUACC